AAAGGCUUUUGUCAUACAAUGGCUUUAGUAGCUGCUACUUGUAGUUUACUAAAAAUAGUCUUCCUUGUUUUAAGGGGACAGACAGUGUCAGGAACUGUGGGGAAUCAAACCCUGGACUUCGUGCGGAACUCCAGGUGCGCUUGCUUGCCACAGGAGGCUCUUUGAGCUACAUGGGAUCAGUUGCCCUUAUGUGCCUUCUGCCUUUUUACCAAUUUCCCUUCAGUCGCAACCUAUUGUGUUCAUCACAUGUGUGGCUGCUUUAAUAAUGACCUGCCUAUAUAAACCCUCUCCUGGCAACACCCAGUUGCUCGAUCAUCGUUGCUACUGAGUCUGGUCUUGCCACUUCUGAUUCCUGUGUUCCCUGCCUUGUUCCUGUUUGGUUUUCGUGAUAUUGACUUCUGCUUGACUUUCUGGAUUGCUUGAACUCUGCCUGGACUGACCCCUGCCUAAUUAACGGAUCUGCUAGAACUCUGCCUGGACCGACCCCUGCCUAAGUAAUGGACUUGCUUGAACUCUGCCUGGACUGAACCCUGCCUGCCUUGCGGAUUCACCUGUUACCGGACUCUGUAUCUUAUCACAGGCUUGACAUUGUUGGGGUUCUCUGUGGAGCCGUCUUUCCAACCCAGUGACCUCUUGGAUGUUGAUCUAAAAAAGGAUAUUUUUUUUUCAAUGUUUUCAAUGAUGUUCAUCAUGACAUGAAACAUACAAGUUGAUGGAGAAUAAUGUUGUUCUGGUAUUUUUGGACAUUACAAAGUUCAUGUAAAAAA